rnacentral:rRNA from 1 species
AGUAACACGUGGGUAACCUGCCUUAUAGUGGGGGAUAGCCUUUCGAAAGGAAGAUUAAUACCGCAUAAGAUUGUAGUAUCGCAUGAUAUAGCAAUUAAAGGAGUAAUUCGCUAUAAGAUGGACCCGCGUCGCAUUAGCUAGUUGGUGAGGUAAUGGCUCACCAAGGCGACGAUGCGUAGCCGACCUGAGAGGGUGAUCGGCCACAUUGGGACUGAGACACGGCCCAGACUCCUACGGGAGGCAGCAUG